UGGCAAGGCCUAUACUGCAGUUUGUCUCACCUCUUUGAGGAGCUGGCUGGGCUGACUUAAAGAGCCCUUGUCUGAUUCUGCAGCUGUUGACUCCUAUACUGUGUUAGGGGUGGGGAUGUCAUUGAGAUCUUGUCGUCUGAGGAAGGCCAGAGAGCUUUUCCCUCAGAUUGGGAGGAACCAAGGUGAGGUGCCAAGGGUCUUUCCUCCUCUAAGCUGGAGCAGCAAGUAUUUCCUCUUCUUCUGUAUCUUUAUCAGGUAACCAUCUCACAGCUCAAGGCUGCUAGCCAUGUCUACUCAUUUCUAUUGGGUUCAGUGGGACUUACUUCCAGUUUUAGACAAUGAGUGAAGUCAGAGCUGUGACCGAAUCAGCCAGAAAUCAAAAGCUGCUGCUGUUUUCUUCUUUCUGGCUAGCAUCUAUCUCCUUCCCAUCUCCGUUUGAAAUCAGGUACCCCUUCUGAGGGGAACAACGAUUGGGUAACGCUAGCUGGCUGUCAGGAAGCACACUUGUUAAGUCUUGCCUGAGUGUGUGAAGGGCCUUCACGGAAAAGAUCGUGUCUGAGAUGGUGUGAAAAUUCUGCCUGUGAAGUUUGCUAUGUGACCUGUUGCAUAUGUGUAAAUGACCACUUGGCGUAACUCUCAUUAGCCUCAUUCACUCAACACCAUAGAACUCCUUUCUACCUCAUGGAUGGAGCCAAUUGAAUUGCUAUUUCCCACCUGAUUAGACCAGCACUGGGAGUAAAGACUCACUUGAUUGGCUCCAGUCAGGUGAUUGUAAUAUUCACACAUGCACACUCUCUAGCAGUAUCAGAUUAUACCAUGGCGAAGGGCUUGCAUGCCACUGUAUGUAUUUGUGAAUAAAAUAGGGUUGCCUUUUCUCUAUUAAAACAGGAGUGGGAAAGCUUUUUUA